GCUUGCUGUUCACACUCUCUAUCUCUUGGGAAAUUUCGCGGGCGAGGAAAAUGACGACUGUGGUUCCUACUUCUGAGGAAGAUCCCGUCCUCUCCGUCGUCCGGUUUACGGCAGAGAUGUCAUGGGCGGACGCUGGCGCCGAGACUGCAGAGCCUGAAGUUAAUAGAUUGUGUGUCGAGGCCCAGAAAUGCAUGAUUGAAGGAAGGUGGUUGGAUUUGGUUUCGCUUAUGCUCGCUUCUGCAGAUAUAAUAUUUUCUAAAGCUUCUGAAAAAGAUCUUGAGUGCGUUUUCACAAUAAUGUGCAACCUUGUCAAGAAGCCUGAGAGCUUGGACCAAGUACAUGAGAUGGCAGAGCUCAUAUCCGCUAAAAUCAUUCAACAACCCAAUGAUAAACCCGCAUUGCGCUUGAAAAUCUUGUUCAAUCUCUACAAUUUGUUGGAGAACCCAUACAGCCGUUUCUGCGUUUACUUGAAGUCCCUCAAGUUGGCCACUGCCGGGAAAGUUACUGAACACAUUUUGUCGUCCAUCAAAAUGAUGGAUAACUUCUUGAAGGAGUGGAAUCUUGGAGUCAAAGAUCAGAGAGAGCUGUUUCUUGCAAUCUCCAACAUUUUAAAGGAAAGCAAAGGCUCUACAAAAGAUUCUUUCAUGUUUCUUACAAAGUAUCUGGAAACCUUUUCGUCUGAAGAUGCUUCUAAUAUGACUGAGGCUAAGGAAGAAGCUGCCAGUGCAAUUGUCGAUUUUGUCAGAUCACCUGAUAUGUUUAAGUGUGACUUGCUAGAUAUGCCGGCUAUAGUCCAGUUGGAGAAAGAUGGUCAAUAUGGUCCAGUAUAUCAACUUCUGAAGAUCUUUCUCACUCAGAGGCUGGAUGCUUACUUGGAAUUUGAGGCAGCAAAUUCAGCAUUAUUAAAAACCUAUGGACUUGUCCAUGAUGACUGUAUAUCAAAGAUGAGGUUGAUGUCGUUGGUAGAUCUUGGCUUGAAUGAAUCUAGUCAAAUUCCUUAUUCUGUCAUCAAACAGGCAUUGCAGAUUGAUGACAUUGAGGUAGAAUCGUGGGUUGUUAAGGCAAUUACAGCUAAGUUACUUGAUUGCAAGAUUGAUCAAAUGAAUCAAGUAGUAAUAGUGAGCCGAUGUACGGAGCGUGUGUUUGGUGUGCAUCAGUGGCAAGAUCUCCGCACGAAACUAGUGACUUGGAGGGGCAACAUUGCUGGUGUUAUCAGCACAGUUCAAGCCAAUAAGAUUACAGAAGAUAGCACACAGGCAGUGCAAGGUUUAGCAAUCCGCUGAGUGUUCUUUGUGGAAAUCUCUUUUUAAUUUUAGAGAUCGGAUUUAAUUGGGAUAUACUGUUCACAUCUUUUUCAGCUUGAAAUUUUGAUCAUCUUUUUUUUUUUU
rnacentral:misc_RNA from 1 species